UUAUUUUAUCUAAUUUCAAAUAUUAACACUAAUUUUGUAUUUGGAUGAAAAUUGGAUUGCUCGUGAGAAUAUGUUUGGAUGGUUAGAUUGUAAAAAGGGGAAUAAGAGUUAUAAUUUUUAAAAUAAAAUUAUUUUAUCUAAUUAAUUUAUAUUAAAAUAUUAAUUAAAAUAAUUCAAUAAAUUAAUAAAUUUAUUAGCUAUGAAUAUUAUAAUAAAUUAAUAAAUUAAUAAAUAUAAAUAUUAGUUAAUUAAUUAGUUAUUUAAUACAUUUAUUAAUUAAAUAAUUAAUUAUAAAAAUAACUUAAGUUUUUAAUUAGUUAGUAAAUUAUCUUAGUUAGAUAUUAGUAAAUUAUCUUAGUUAGAUAAUUAGUUAAAGUUAAAUAGAUUAGUUAAAAUAUUAAUGGUUGAUCAAUAUAAAUAUUGGUCACUAAAUAAAUUUGAUUAAAAUAAAAAUUUUAAAUUAGUUAAUUGAUUAUAGAUAAUAGAUAAUAAAUUAAUUAGUUACUUUACUAUACAAUAGGUAAUUAAUUACUUAAAUAAUUAAUUAGAUUGAUUAAUAAUUUAAUAUCAUAAUUAAAAUUAGAUUAGAUUUUAAUUAAUCUUAUUCUUACUUGGGAACAAGCUUGUUGUAGAGAGAAGGUGGAAUAGCUGUUUUAAGUUUAUAUUGGGUAU
rnacentral:lncRNA from 1 species